rnacentral:rRNA from 1 species
UACGUAGGGGGCAAGCGUUUGUCCGGAUUUACUGGGCGUAAAGCGCGUGUAGGCGGCUUGGCAAGUCGGAUGUGAAAGCCCACGGCUCAACCGUGGAAGCGCAUCCGAAACGGCCUCGCUCGAGUCUCGGAGAGGAAGGUGGAAUGCUUGGUGUAGAGGUGAAAUUCGUAGAUAUCAAGCAGAACACCUGCGGCGAAGGCGGCCUUCUGGACGAUGACUGACGCUGAGACGCGAAAGCGUGGGGAGCAAACAGG